rnacentral:rRNA from 1 species
GACGUAGGGCGCGAGCGUUGUCCGGAUUUAUUGGGCGUAAAGAGCUCGUAGGCGGCUUGUCGCGUCGACUGUGAAAACCCGAGGCUCAACUUCGGGCUUGCAGUCGAUACGGGCAGGCUAGAGUUCGGUAGGGGAGACUGGAAUUCCUGGUGUAGCGGUGAAAUGCGCAGAUAUCAGGAGGAACACCGAUGGCGGAGGCAGGUCUCUGGGCCGAUACUGACGCUGAGGAGCGAAAGCGUGGGGAGCGAACAGG